AAGAAACUAACAAGGAUUCCCCUAGUAACGGCGAGUGAAGAGGGAAGAGCUCAAAUUUGAAAGCUGGUACCUUCGGUAUCCGCGUUGUAACCUCGAGACACGUUUUCCGUGCGGCGCUAUGGACAAGUUCCUUGGAACAGGACAUCGUAGAGGGUGAAAAUCCCGUACUUGCCAUGGAUGUACCGUGCUUUGCGAUACGUGCUCUAAGAGUCGAGUUGUUUGGGAUUGCAGCUCAAAAUGGGUGGUAGACUCCAUCUAAAGCUAAAUAUCGGGGAGAGACCGAUAGCGAACAAGUACCGUGAGGGAAAGAUGAAAAGCACUUUGGAAAGAGAGUUAAAAGUACGUGAAAUUGUCGAAAGGGAAGCGCUUGAAGUCAGCCAUGCCGCUCAGGACUCAGCCUGGCUUUUGCUUGGUGUAUUUCCUGGGUAGCAAGUCAGCAUUGGUUUGGAUCGUCGGAGAAGCAUAGUCGGAAUGUGGCGCCCUCGGGCGUGUUAUAGCCUUCUAUUGGAUACGACGAUCUAGACCAAGGAACGCAGCGCGCCUUAUGGCGGGUCUU
rnacentral:rRNA from 1 species